AAUGAUGUAAACAUAGCAAGAGAUUUUGACUAUAUAAAGUACCUAAACCAUUUUAUAUUUUUUACAUGCAAAGGUGAAAAAAAAUGGUUCAAACUCUCAAGUUUGUUUAUAUUUUGAUCCUUUUUGUUUCUCUUUUUAUCAUUGCGGUCGUUGGUCAAAAAAAGUGUGAUAAUGUCUACGACUGCUAUAAAUUAGAUCCAAGUGAGCCUUAUGGAUCGUUGAGGUGCUCUGGAGGUUAUUGUAUAAGCCUGAUAGAGCAAAUAUGGGGACAUCCUUGAUUAUCAAUGGUGGGAUAUUAUCCUCACUAAUAUUUGUAAUGUUUAUUCUAAGAAUAUAUUUUAUCUUCCUAGAUUUUGUUAGUUUUGUUUGGAGCACUGCACUCUUUUUUCCUUUAUUUGGUUUAUUCUUUAGGAUUUUACUAUUAAGGUUUUUAAUGAGGCAGUAAUAAUUUGUUUUAGUUCUCACUUGGGUUUUGACCUAGUUCCCCCAAGUUUUAUACUCUCUUUUUUACUUAUACGUUAUUGCGAGUUAACUUGAUUUUUAAAUUGA